rnacentral:rRNA from 1 species
GAUGAACGCUGGCGGCGUGCCUAAUACAUGCGAGUCGAGCGAACGGACGGGAAGCUUGCUUCUCUGAUGUUAGCGGCGGACGGGUGAGUAACACGUGGAUAACCUACCUAUAAGACUGGGAUAACUUCGGGAAACCGUAGCUAAUACCGGAUAAUAUUUUGAACCGCAUGGUUCAAAAGUGAAAGACGGUCUUGCUGUCACUUAUAGAUGGAUCCGCGCUGCAUUAGCUAGUUGGUAAGGUAACGGCUUACCAAGGCAACGAUGCAUAGCCGACCUGAGAGGGUGAUCGGCCACACUGGAACUGAGACACGGUCCAGACUCCUACGGGAGGCAGCAGUAGGGAAUCUUCCGCAGUGGGCGAAAGCCUGACGGAGCAACGCCGCGUGAGUGAUGAAGGUCUUCGGAUCGUAAAACUCUGUUAUUAGGGAAGAACAUAUGUGUAAGUAACUGUGCACAUCUUGACGGUACCUAAUCAGAAAGCCACGGCUAACUACGUG